GACGAACGCUGGCGGCGUGCCUAAUACAUGCAAGUCGAACGAAGUGGCGAACGGGUGAGUAACGCGUAAUCAACCUGCCCUUCAGAGGGGGACAACAGUUGGAACCGACUGCUAAUACCGCAUACUGAAGGAGGGGAUUGCGUCUGAUUAGCUAGUUGGAGGGGUAACGGCCCACAAAGGCGAUGAUCAGUAGGCGGUCUGGGAGGAGGAACGGCCAAAUUGGGACUGAGACACGGCCCAGACUCCUACGGGAGGCAGCAGUGGGGAAUCUUCCGAAAUGGACGAAAGUCUGACGGAGCAACGCCGCGGGAGUGAGGACGGCCUUCGGGUUGUAAAGCUCUGUUAAUCGGGACGCGGUACCGGAAUAGAAAGCCACGGCUAACUACGUGCCAGCAGCCGCGGUAAUUC
rnacentral:rRNA from 1 species